rnacentral:lncRNA from 1 species
GGACUGAGAUGACCAGGCUUGCCUCAUGGCAUCAGUACUAAGUGCCUUCUGUGGGCCAGAUACUGGACCAGUCAGGCAAAUCACUGUAGGGCACUCUUGCCAGCCCUUAGAAAAGGUGAAAUGCAGUGCUUGUUCUAGGCUGUACCAUUUCUUCUAGACACCUCAUUGGGCCAGGAUACAGCAAUAAUGUUUGAGGAUAAAGUUGGGUACUGCCUCUUCCUCUGCCUCCCAUGACCUAAGGGAAGAAAGACCUUGGAAAGCUGAAGAGGAAGUCUAAAUUUGAUUCAUUUGCCUACCUGUAUCUACUAUGAGCUAGGUGCUUUUAUGUACAUCAGGACCUAAUCCCUUUUUAAAAGGCAAAGACAGGGACGCCUGGGUGACUCAGCGGUUGAGCAUCUGCCACCUUGGGCUCAGGACAUGAUCCUGGAGUUCCAGGAUCGAGUCCCACGUCAGGCUCCUGCAUGGAGCCUGCUUCUCCCUCUGUGUCUCUGCCUCUCUCUGUGUCUCUUAGGAAUAAAUAAAUACAAUCUUUAAAAAAUAAAAUGCAAAGACAAAAGUUCAGAGAGGUGAAGUGAUUUUCUCAAUGUACCACAGCUAGUGACAAAGCUAGGAUUAAUUUUUCAAUUUCUCUGGCUCUACUGCCAGAGAAAAAAUUUCAUCACUUGGCGAUAACUGCAGGAAGAUACUUAAAGUUACAACAGCUGGGAUUUGAACUCAGGUUCAAGUCAGGGUUUCUACAAGACUGAAUCUUUCCUAGAACAGUAUAUUUCUAAGUUCCUGCAUAACAACGUACACCAGCCCACCGCUGUGAAUAAAUUUUAAAGGCUGCAUCAUUUGAUCAAGACUCAAAGUCCUGCCUGGGAGUGCCCAUUUGUCCAAGCCUAGGUUGUCAUCCCAAAUUUCACAUGCCAAGGAGUAAAGAGAAGGAGGAGAGCUCAUUUUAGCUUCUCAGUGGGAAGUGUAUUGACGUCCACAAAAAUGCACUCAAUUGGGAAUUUCCCCAAAGUAGGAGACAAAGAAAUAGAAAGCUCCUCUAUAACCUCUUUGGGUACUCAAAAUCCACACAUGUCCUUUUCCACACUUAAUCUCCCGUUGCCCCUCAUCC